rnacentral:rRNA from 1 species
UGUGUUGCGGAAGGAUCAUUG